rnacentral:tRNA from 1 species
GCCUAGUUAGCUUACUUGGUAGUGCGUCUGCCUUGUAAGCGCUAGGCCGCGGGUUCGAUUCCCGCCCGGGGC